UACGUAGGGGCCGAGCGUUGUCCGGAGUUAUUGGGCGUAAAGCGCGCGCAGGCGGCCUCGCGCGCCCGACGUGAAAGCCCCCGGCUUAACCGGGGAGGGUCGUUGGGGACGGCGGGCUUGAGGGCGGGAGAGGUCGGUGGAAUUCCCGGUGUAGUGGUGAAAUGCGUAGAGAUCGGGAGGAACACCUGUGGCGAAGGCGGCCGACUGGGCCGACCCUGACGCUGAGGCGCGAAGGCGUGGGGAGCGAACGGGAGUUAGA
rnacentral:rRNA from 1 species